GACGAACGCUGGCGGCGUGCUUAACACAUGCAAGUCGAACGGAAAGGCCCUGCUUUUGUGGGGUGCUCGAGUGGCGAACGGGUGAGUAACACGUGAGUAACCUGCCCUUGACUUUGGGAUAACUUCAGGAAACUGGGGCUAAUACCGGAUAGGAGCUCCUGCUGCAUGGUGGGGGUUGGAAAGUUUCGGCGGUUGGGGAUGGACUCGCGGCUUAUCAGCUUGUUGGUGGGGUAGUGGCUUACCAAGGCUUUGACGGGUAGCCGGCCUGAGAGGGUGACCGGCCACAUUGGGACUGAGCUACGGCCCAGACUACUACGGGAGGCAGCAGUGGGGAAUAUUGCACAAUGGGCGGAAGCCUGAUGCAGCAACGCAGCGUGCGGGAUGACGGCCUUCGGGUUGUAAACCGCUUCCGCCUGUGACGAAGCGUGAGUGACGGUAAUGGGUAAAGAAGCACCGGCUAACUACGUG
rnacentral:rRNA from 1 species